GAGGGUAUAGCUCAGAGAGAGAGCAAGUGCUUAGCACACACGAGGUUCUGGGUUCAAACCCCAGUGCCUCCA
rnacentral:tRNA from 1 species